GAAAGAAAUUCUGGUGGUGGUGUCGCUUAGUGCUUGUCAGUUAAUCCAAAGUCCAAAUACAAUGGGAUAAAGAAAAUCAUAAUACUGAUUUGUUUGUGGCAAUCAGCAAAUUAUCCAUUUUAAUGAGCAUUUAUAUUUUAGACAUGUUAACAGGGAAGCAAAUUUAUAUGCUGAUUGGUUGACUUCUUAGGGGAGUUCAUGUGUUUGUUUGUCCUUCCAAAUGUGUGAUUUAGUUUGUGCACAGGGACAUGAGGGAUGUGGCAUCCCCUGGUCUUGUGCCUUUCUUAG
rnacentral:misc_RNA from 1 species